UACGUAGGUGGCAAGCGUUGUCCGGAUUUACUGGGCGUAAAGCGUGCGCAGGCGGUUGUGCAAGACAGGUGUGAAAUCCCCGGGCUUAACCUGGGAACUGCAUUUGCGACUGCACGGCUAGAGUGUGUCAGAGGGGGGUAGAAUUCCAUGUGUAGCAGUGAAAUGCGUAGAUAUGUGGAGGAAUACCGAUGGCGAAGGCAGCCCCCUGGGAUAACACUGACGCUCAUGCACGAAAGCGUGGGGAGCAAACAGG
rnacentral:rRNA from 1 species